rnacentral:rRNA from 1 species
AGAGUUUGAUCCUGGCUCAGGAUGAACGCUAGCGACAGGCUUAACACAUGCAAGUCGAGGGGCAGCGAGGGCGUAGCAAUACGCCUGUCGGCGACCGGCGCACUGGUGAGUAACACGUAUGCGACCUGCCCCCUACAGGGGUAUAACCCGUAGAAAUGCGGACUAAUCCCCCAUAGUCCUGGGUGCUGCAUGGCAUUCAGGGGAAAGGCCAGCCGGUAGGGGAUGGGCAUGCGGCGCAUUAGCUAGUUGGCGGGGCAACGGCCCACCAAGGCGACGAUGCGUAGGGGUUCUGAGAGGAAGGUCCCCCACACUGGUACUGAGACACGGACCAGACUCCUACGGGAGGCAGCAGUGAGGAAUAUUGGUCAAUGGGCGCAGGCCUGAACCAGCCAAGUCGCGUGAGGGAUGACGGUCCUACGGAUUGUAAACCUCUUUUGUCGGGGAGUAACGUGCGGGACGGGUCCCGUAUUGAGAGUACCCGAAGAAAAAGCAUCGGCUAACUCCGUGCCAGCAGCCGCGGUAAUACGGAGGAUGCGAGCGUUAUCCGGAUUUAUUGGGUUUAAAGGGUGCGCAGGCGGCGCGCCAAGUCAGCGGUCAAAGUUCCGGGCUCAACCCGGUGUCGCCGUUGAAACUGGCGUGCUCGAGUGCGUGCGAGGAAGGCGGAAUGCGUUGUGUAGCGGUGAAAUGCAUAGAUAUGACGCAGAACUCCGAUUGCGAAGGCAGCUUUCCAGCGCGCUACUGACGCUGAGGCACGAAAGCGUGGGGAUCGAACAGGAUUAGAUACCCUGGUAGUCCACGCAGUAAACGAUGACUACUAGCUUUCCGGGGCGACUGGGUCCUGGGAGGCACAGCGAAAGCGUUAAGUAGUCCACCUGGGGAGUACGCCGGCAACGGUGAAACUCAAAGGAAUUGACGGGGGCCCGCACAAGCGGAGGAACAUGUGGUUUAA